AAGAAAGAAAGAAAGAAAGAAAGAAAGAAAGAAAGAAAGAAGAAAGAGAGGAAGGAAGGAAGGAAAAGGAAGGAAGGAGAAAAGAAGAAAAAGAAAGAGAGAGAAGGAAGGGAGGAAAGGGAAGCAUUACAUGAUUGGAGAAAGGAGAUGUGUGCUGAUGUCCCAGGGGGCUGUCUGUUUUAUUUAUGCAAUGAUGAUUUCUUGCCUAUCUCCCAUGUGCCAGAUUCUCAGCUGGAUUCCAGUCUCAUCAUACUUUCAUUUCACAGGAGUGUCAGGACAGAGAACAUUCCACCUGGGACUCCAGGGAAGGCAGCUCUGGCCAGGACAGCCUAUCUGUGCAGGAGGCAUUGCUGGCACCCCGUGGGGACUGAGGACCAAGGAGGAGCUGCUCCCCCACACACGGUUCGUACUUCUGCUCUGUGAAGAGAGACAACUGUGCCCUGUUACCUUCACUGAACUAUGAGGUGUCUACUGAACAUCUAAUUUGUGCCAGGACCACAGUUGAGACUGAGGGGAACAGACACUCUCAGAAUCCACUUAUGACAGCUCCAAAUAUCUAUGCUCACCUUUGUCUCUUUUCCACUGGUCUCUGUGGAAGAUAUCUCCUUUCACUUAAAGGCUAAUCCUUCCAUGAGUAGGUCCUAUUGAUUUUAACAGUCUUUUUCUCCCCAGUUUGUUCUAUUCCCUGCAAGUUCUACUCUUUCCUUUCUCCCAUCUGUUCAACCCCUUAUUACUACUGCAAUUCCCAAUGUCCAAGCUACAAAAUGUCCCCAGUCUUUCUCAUUCUCAAGCCCACAUACCCACAUGCCGGAAUUGUUUCUCUGUAGUUCAUUGCUAUAUGCUCAUAGCUUCUCAAUAAAUAUUUACUGAGUUUAAUGAAUGGAUAACAUAAGGCAAUAUAAAGGUAGGUAAAUAUCUGAUUCAGAGGAAAUUUUUUAAUUUUUAAUUCUAUUUUUAGGUCUGGGGUAGAUGUGUAGGGUGUGCAAGUUUAUUACAUAGAUAUCUGUGGGCCGUGGUGGUUUGCUGCACCUAUUCACCCAUCACCUAGGUAUUAAGCCCUGCACGUAUUAGUUGUUUUUCCUAAUACUCUCCCUCUCCCCAUACCAGCCCCCAACCGGCCCCAGUGUAUAUUGUUCCCCUCCUUGUGUCCAUAUGAUCUCAUUGUUAAGCUCCCACUUAUAAGUGAGAAUAUGUGGUGUUUGGCUUUGUCUUCCUGCAUUAGUUUGCUGAGGAUAAUGGCAUCCAGCUCCAUCUGUGUCCCUGCAAAGGACAUGAUCUCAUUCCUUUUUAUGACUGCAUAGUAUUCCAUGGUAUAUAUGUACCACAUUUUCUUUAUCCAGUCUAUCAUUGAUGGGCCUUUGGGUUGAUUCCAUGUCCUUGCUAUUGUGAAUAGUGCUAUAAUGAACACAUGUGGAUGUAUUGAUUGCUGGGUCAAAUGGUAUUUCUGGCUCUAGAUCUUUGAGGAAUCACCAUAUCAUCUUCCGUAAUGGUUGAACUAACAUACAUUCCCACCAACAGUGUAAAGGCAUUCUUAUUUUUCCACAACCUGGCCAGCAUCUGCUGUUUCUUGACUUUCAAUGUUGGCCAUUCUGACUGGCAUGAGAUGGUAUCUCAUUGUGGAUUUCAUUUGCAUUUCUUUAGUGAUCAGUGAUGUUGAGCUUUCUUUCAUAUGUUUGUUGGCUGCACAAAUGUCUUCUUUUGAGUAUCAUCAGGGUGAUAGGCAACCUACAGAUAGGGAGAAAAUUUUUGCAAUCUAUUCAUCUGACGAAGGUGUAAUAUCCAGAAUCCACCAGGAACUCAAACAAAUUUACAAGAAAAAUAACAAACGAC
ensembl:lincRNA